CACGGGGGGAGCAAGCGUUGUUCGGAAUCACUGGGCGUAAAGGGCUCGUAGGCGGCCAACUAAGUCAAACGUGAAAUCCCUCGGCUUAACCGGGGAACUGCGCUUGAUACUGGAUGGCUUGAGAUUGGGAGAGGGAUGCGGAAUUCCAGGUGUAGCGGUGAAAUGCGUAGAUAUCUGGAGGAACACCGGUGGCGAAGGCGGCAUCCUGGACCAAUACUGACGCUGAGGAGCGAAAGCCAGGGGAGCAAACGGG
rnacentral:rRNA from 1 species